rnacentral:rRNA from 1 species
AAAAAUGAAGCCGGGAAACCGGUCCUUCUAACCCUUGAUUAUCUCAAUUUGUUGCUUUGGCGGGCCGUCAGGCUCACGCUCGGCUACCGGCCCCGGCUGGUAAGCGCCCGCCAGAGGACCCAAAACCCUGAUUAUUAGUGUCGUCUGAGUACUAUAUAAUAGUUAAAACUUUCAACAACGGAUCUCUUGGUUCUGGCAUCGAUGAAGAACGCAGCGAAAUGCGAUAAGUAAUGUGAAUUGCAGAAUUCAGUGAAUCAUCGAAUCUUUGAACGCACAUUGCGCCCCUUGGUAUUCCGAGGGGCAUGCCUGUUCGAGCGUCAUUACAACCCUCAAGCCUGGCUUGGUAUUGGGCUUCGCCACUCACCUGGCGGGCCUUAAAAUCAGUGGCGGUGCCGUCGAGGCCCUGAGCGCAGUAAAUAUCCUCGCUAUAGGGACCCGGCGGUUGCUGGCCAUCAACCCCCAACUUUCUAAGUUUGACCUCGGAUCAGGUAGGGAUACCCGCUGAACUUAA